rnacentral:misc_RNA from 1 species
GAUGAAGAACGCAGCGAAAUGCGAUAAGUAAUGUGAAUUGCAGAACUCAGUGAAUCAUCGAAUCUUUGAACGCACAUUGCGCCCUGUGGUAUUCCGCAGGGCAUGCCUGUUCGAGCGUCAUUUCAACCCUCAAGCUCUGCUUGGUGUUGGGCCCUGCCCGCUGCGGCCGGCCCUAAAGACAGUGGCGGUGCCGCCUGGCCCUGAGCGUAGUACAUCUCUCGCUCCAGUGCCCGGUGGUAGCCUGCCAGAACCCCAACUCUCGUGGUUGACCUCGGAUCAGGUAGGGAUACCCGCUGAACUUAAGCAUAUCAAUAAGCGGAGGA